UUAAACUAAAGAGUUUGAUCCUGGCUCAGAUUGAACGCUGGCGGCAUGCCUUACACAUGCAAGUCGAACGGCAGCACGGAGCUUGCUCUGGUGGCGAGUGGCGAACGGGUGAGUAAAAUAUCGGAACGUACCCAGGAGUGGGGGAUAAC
rnacentral:rRNA from 1 species